UACGUAGGGUGCGAGCGUUAAUCGGAUUUACUGGGCGUAAAGCGCGCGUAGGCGGUGCGGUAAGUCAGGGGUUAAAGGCUGCAGCUCAACUGCAGUAAGGCCUUUGAUACUAUCGCGCUAGAGUACCAGAGAGGAUGGCGGAAUUCCCGGUGUAGCGGUGAAAUGCGUAGAUAUAUGGAGGAACACCGGUGGCGAAAGCGGCUCUCUGGACUGUAACUGACACUGAGGCUCGAAAGCGUGGGUAGCAAACAGG
rnacentral:rRNA from 1 species